rnacentral:misc_RNA from 1 species
GAUGAAGAACGUAGCGAAAUGCGAUACGUAAUGUGAAUUGCAAAUUCAGUGAAUCAUCGAGUCUUUGAACGCACAUUGCGCCCCCUGGUAUUCCUGGGGGCAUGCCUGUCCGAGCGUCAUUGCUGCCCUCAAGCACGGCUUGUGUGUUGGGCCCCGUCCUCCGAUCCCGGGGGACGGGCCCGAAAGGCAGCGGCGGCACCGCGUCCGGUCCUCGAGCGUAUGGGGCUUUGUCACCCGCUCUGUAGGCCCGGCCGGCGCUUGCCGAUCAACCCAAAUUUUUAUCCAGGUUGACCUCGGAUCAGGUAGGGAUACCCGCUGAACUUAAGCAUAUCAAUAAGCGGAGGA